CCUACUCCGCCCGCUCCGCCUGGCUGAGAACCCAGAUCCGCGCUUGUACAGGGCGGCCGGUCGCCUCCGCCUUCAGGACCUGCGGGGCGCGCGCGAGGGUCCUGUUGCCUCCCUGCCCUUCCUUAUCACGAACCAGACACAUCAGCUCUGCCUACUUGGCCUCCUGGACAGCAUGGCCCAGAGGGCGUGCUUGACUCAGGAAACCCACAGCUGUUCCUUGUCUGCAGGAACUCUUCCGACAAAUCCAGAAAAUAGCUUGGAUAAGAAGCAGAAAGUGGCAGACAGCAAGCAGAGCUACACUCAGAAGAAAAUAGAGUUUGAGAACUGAAGCAUUUCAAAAGACAUGUUCUCACCCCCUCCACACACCAAGGCAGAAGAAAGCUGUAAAAAUUCCAUCAUUACUAAUUAAAUACUCUAAGGGAAGUAUUUUCACAUAUAAAAACCCAGCCUUCAAACAUACAUUCAAAUUGGUUCCAUAUUGUAAUGACCACAAUAAAUUAAGC
rnacentral:lncRNA from 1 species